rnacentral:rRNA from 1 species
UACGUAGGGGGCGAGCGUUGUCCGGAAUUAUUGGGCGGAAAGAGCUCGUAGGCGGUUUGUCGCGUCUGCUGUGAAAACCCGAGGCUCAACCUCGGGCCUGCAGUGGGUACGGGCAGACUAGAGUGCGGUAGGGGAGAUUGGAAUUCCUGGUGUAGCGGUGGAAUGCGCAGAUAUCAGGAGGAACACCAAUGGCGACGGCAGAUCUCUGGGCCGUAACUGACGCUGAGGAGCGAAAGCGUGGGGAGCGAGCAGG